GAUGGAAUUUUUCGGUUGGCUGUAUUCUCAGAACAGUACCUGACACAUAGAUAGCUCUCAACAAUACUUCCUGAAUGAAUUCAGUUCCUUUUUAAGCCAAACCUGUCAGACAGUUCCAGGGAUGGCCAGGGUGUGUGAACCACAAAAGCCAACACUUGAAUUCCUAUUUGAGCAGGAACGCUUUAAAAGGAUGUUAUAAAAUCUAGGUUCUUCAUUCUGGAAGAAGACACCAGUAGAACUUUUCUGUGGUGACAGGUCUUCAAGAAAUAACUCAGACAUUGGAGCAUCUUCUUCAUCACGGGUGUGUGUGUGGACAGAUAAAUAGAGUCAUCAUGUUCUGAACUGGUGACAUCUAAUGGCAACUUGAAUGAGGGAAAAAGGACUGCAAAUAUCUGGGUGAAGAGCAACCAAAGCUGAAGAAACAACAAGUGCAAAGGCACUGGGACCAUGGUCAACCUUCAAGGCCCAGUUCAAACACCAACGUCUUCAAAUAUCUUUCCUGACCCCCUCAGAUGGAGGACCUCAUCUCCCUCAAAAAA